AGCUUCUAUCUCCUGGUACUCCGAUUUCUCCAGUAAGCAAUCACAUAGAGUCGGGUUAAUGGUCACAUAACUACAAAGAAGAAAAACAAAACAAGUCAAACAAAAACUGUAAAUAAUAAUUCCAUACAGUUCCUUCAUUUCCAUUCAAGGCUCCUGAGUCUCAGCCACAGCAACGCAGAUUAGAUUCACAGUGAUUCAAUGUAAUGUCGUUUCAGCCACUAAUUUAAUAUCAGGGUCUGAUUCAAAUUAUUAAGGUUUAUAUCUGGACUCAUUCGUCUCUCAAUGUUCCUGCUAAAUUAUUUCAAUUAAUCACUGAGUAUUUCACAAUGACAGGUUUACCAUUCCCACACAAAUACUUCGACACGUACUUACUUUUUAUUGUUCUCCUCAACCAGUUGGUUCCGCUUCACAUACUCCGUGAUGAUGCUUCUCACCUCGGCUGGCUGCAGUAUCGUCCCCUUCCUGUGGGUGGCAAACGAAAGGCAGCAGGAGGGAUGGCGGCGGCAUCUGCAUGCUCCCAAAACCAUGACAUAUCCUUGUCCUAUGUUAGUGCUGUUUCAAAGAGGAAGCACCAGCGGAAGAAAGCAGCCAAGAGGCAGUGAGGGAAGAUAGACCAUGAAGAUGUCUGUGACAAGAUAAAGUACAAAUGCAUGGUUGAGCUACCGUGAGUAACAGUGAAUGAUGGAGACUAAUUACUGUACAAUGUCAACAAAUCCUGUUAUUAUGAAUGUUGUGUAACCUCAGGAGUUCAAAUACAUUUUACAGAAGUUCUUGUGAGUUAAAAUUAAUUUUAACUGAUUAAAACAACAGUGUCUAAUUACCUUGACAUCAACUACAACGACCACAAUAACAAUGCUCUGUCGUAAUUACACAUCACAGACACACAGCUGACUGAAGCAACAGGAUCAUUCCAUGCUCAUGUGGCACGUAGCUCUGAGUCUGUACUUUGUUCAUCCACCUGAGUGUCAUAAAAAUAUCUGAGCUAUCAUUUUGGGGUUCAAGAAAAGAGAAAAAGGCAAUCAAUCAUACAGUGUGUUGUUGAAAUAUGUGCGUUAGCAGUAUCUGUCGCCACAGAUUGAAGAAUUCCAUGCAGCUUGGUCUGAUGAGGGAUAUAAAGCAUUAUGAGAGCCUUCUUAUAGAAGUGCUCCCUCACAGUGAUUCUACUGGCACUUUCUUUUGAUGCUGUGAUGGGUUAUAUAGAAUGAAUCCAGUUGAGUUUUCUCUGUGGUUUGGUGGAUCGAAUGAUUGCACGUCUCUCGAUGUGUCUGAAGUUUGCCCAAACAAAGUCGUGUUCUCACUACACUCUUGAUUUGCUGAGGUGCCUUUUGACUCACGCAGACAAAUAUGAAUGCAACGUUAAUGGUUCCUUGCCGACGCCUCCAAACAUGUCAUGAUGUCUGCUGCAAAUACAGGGCAACUGCUGUGACUGGUGUAUUCACAGUGGCAGCCAGUGUUUAGAGGCUGGCCAUUUUGAGGUCAUUGUGAGAGGAUCAGGUGUGAAUGUUACUCUAAUAGUAGUCUGUUUAUUAUCAUUUCUAUAUCAUCAUCUCACUAGAUAUUGCAGCAAGCUUUGUGCAAAUUGGAUUUUUUGGUUUUAACUAAACUUCCAAAUCAGCCAUCUUCUGUUGACCACCAACAGUGAUAAUGACACAAAUAGUAGUUUCAGUUGCAUCUGAAAACCUAGUACUUCCUUUAAACUUAUCAAUCCAAAUUAGAUAUCUGCAAUCAAUUAGUUUUUCACAUGCAGUUGUACAACAAAACAAAGGGCCUUCAAGUCUGCUCUGAAUUAUGCGGUAAUUCUUCUUUGUUAUGUUUAAAAAUUCAUUUGGAUUUAUGAUGUCCUGUCUCUUCACAAGACUAUUUACUGCAUGGUCAAAUCUUCACUCACCAUUCUUGUCUUGUUGAUAGCACUCAUUAUAAACGCAACAAUUCAUCCUCCAACAAGCAAAACAAAAAUUGUUUUCCUCCAAAAAACAUUUGUGUAAUGUUGAGAAACACGGAACGGUGCUGUUAAACCACUUUUUUGAUUUUUCCAGAUUCUCAAGUGAAUCUGUCAAAUGGUGAAAUAAAUGGAUCAGCGAGUGGAAAACUGGUUGAACGGCUGCUGCAUGCUCAAAUGAUGAUGUUCAUAAUUUCACUGUUAGGUAUUUGUCACUGAUCUGUUCUCAAAAGAAUCAACAGAUUUUUUAAUUCUUUCCCACGCUCACACCUCCAAAAAUAGUCUUUGCUUUUGUGACGAAUUAAAUGUCAAAUCAGUCUUCCCUCCAUCUAGAAUUAAGGAAUGCAAUUUCAGUCAACUUCAAUGAGUCUCGCAGCUGCUUCUCGUAUUCUGCUCUGGUGUAUGUUGUUGUUUUUUCAUAUCAUUCUCAGGCCUCUUUUGAAUAUGAGAUUUCAUGGUCUUCACAGGUUGCAUGAUUAAAUGGAGGAAUUUUAAUCUAAUUUCCAAGGUUGUACACUCACUGUGAUGGAUUUUUGUACCUUUUCCUGCACACGUGCAGAGUUGUGUGUGAUCUGGUUGCAGUGAUGCUCGUUGCAUUCAUUUAACUGAGACUGCACCAGCUUGUUUGCUGAGCCCCUCCUCGGGGCAGGAAAUAAACUGGCAACAGGAUGUUGUAGGCAGACUCACUGUUCUGAACCAGAAGGAAAGGAUUCUGUUCUAGACUCAGGGCUUUCAAGUAAAGCGGAAGAAUGAGAACGAUUAAAAAGAUAAUACUGGAUAUUGAUGACUACUGGAUAUGUGUUUUAAGAUGCUUUCAGGUAUUACAUUAUUUCAUAUGCAGUAUUUUGCCGCAGAAAGAGACUGUGAUGGCAUCUGACAGUGUUAUAUGAUGAUGUCCAACUCAGGAGACACCAUGGCUCAAGAGAUUGUAUCACUCUCUUGUCCUCAUGAUGCCUUGGAAUUCAGAAGAUUCAGAAGAUCUGGAGCAGGGAUCUGUGGAGAGGGAGGUCUGGGCCUCUUUAGCCCCUGGAACUGGACCACAGAUGAGUCCAAGAAAGUGGAUGCAAAGCAUUGGUUCAAUGUCAGAACCAUUUAUUGAUGUUUUGUUCAUGCAAAGAUAGAAAUGUCAGUUGUUGCUAAAGGUUACUGAUUAGCCAUUGCUGGUGCUGCUUGAUCAUGGCAUGUUGGAUCAACACAUAUGCACAUGAUUAUUCACCCAUCACAGUUGACAAAAAAUAUACCCUGAGGACAAACACAUGUUUGGGUUUUGAUUUGUUUGCCAAAACAACUUAUUUUAAACAACUGAAGCUUCAAAAGACAGCUCACUAUAGAAUGAUGGCUUAUGUUGAAAGGGCCCCACUUGUCCAUAACAAAGUAAAACAAAACAUGGCGUCCAACUGCAGAUCAACUGAGUCAGAUGUACCAAAGACUUUUCAGCUUCAUUUAUCUUUUUUGUAGUUGUCUCAUCAUGUUUUCCUUUUCUACACCGUUAACUUCCCAAGAGCACACAAACAAAAUGUGUAAUUAAGUCUUUAUCUGCCACUCUGGUGAUAUGAGAAGAGGCCUAAUGUGGGUUUAUUGGAGUCACCCGAAGAGAGAACUUCAAGGAAAGAAUCCUCGCAUGUGGCGGGGUAAAUGAGUCAUGGCUUUCUGAUUUGGGAAUGCUACCUUGGUUCCCUUGAGGUGUCUGACUCCUCUCCUCUUUGUGAGGUUUGUUUUGCGCUGAGGCUAAUUUGAUGUUUUUCCACAUAGUUUUAUGCUUAAUAAGUCAGCGUUAGCAUUGGAUCUCUUCAUUUCCAAUUUGUUACCCAUGUUCCUGGUAGAUGAACUGGGAUGGUAUUUUUUACGAUAUGAAAUUCCCAAAACUGGCAAUACUCAUAAUGGUGCUUUCUUCACUGCAUUUUGUGUCUGUAUGCACUGUGAGUUGCAUGUUAUUACGAUUGUAAUGGCUGUUUUCUGUUGCUGAGUUCUGCAUCUUUUUUCAGACUUUUACUGAGUUAUGUGACCGCGACAGGAUGACAGCUAUUGAUAAUUUGCACUGCUUAAUGGUGGAUGAUGAAUUUUGAUUUGCCACGCAUAUUUGCGAGUCUGCGAUUACAAAGGAUUGUGGCUCUUUUAUUUGCGAAAAUGUACUUGAAAUACAUAGUUGCUUUAAACACACAUUUACUGAGAAAUAAAUGCUCUUACACAUCAUAUCUUACAGUCAGUUGACUCAUUUUAUGACCCCAAACCUGCUGAGCUGAGCAACUGUAAACCAAACUGCAUCAAAGGCAGAGUUUAAUUUAAUUAGACCCCCCACUUAGAAGCCAGUCGUCUGCAUUAAUCAGACUGUCUGACACACAGUGUUUCACUGUUCCUUCCCUGCUGGUGCAUGUUAACAUACAGAACCUGAUCCUCAAGUUUAUCUCAAUGGAGGCCAAGAUGUGCAAAAAGAGUCAAAUGGAAGCAGUCAUUUGCACGAGGGCUUGUAAUCAAAUGUACGUGGUGCAGUUGUGACGAAAUCUAUUUUUAGCUCCAAUGUUGUUGGAAUUUGUUGUCCCCCGUCACAAGGCUGACAAAUAGAUUGAACUUUCAUUUUAUGAAUAUUAUUUAUGAGUACAUUAUGAUUCAUACAAUUGAGGUAUGAGAAACUACAAUCAGAAUAUAAAGUUUUGAUACCUCAAGCAAUAUACUUCUUAAUGUUUAUUCACUUUAUGUGUUUGCAGGUUAGCUCAUUAAUACUAAACAUUUUCCCCCUAAAUAUGACCAUUUAAUUCCAGUUCACAAGUUGCAGAAGCCUGUCUUUGCUGCUACAGUUCAGUUCUGAUGUUGCAGUACAGUUGAGAAACAUUUAUCUCAGAGUCUGUCAGUUGGCACUGCAUCUAAUAUUAGUAAUAUCAGUGCAACACGAUGAUCUUGAGUCCUUUGUGUCCAUAUGAUGCAAUUGCUGUCUUGUCUUCAUUAACAUUCUGUUCUAAAGCUUCCCGCUGUGGUUUGUGGUCAGAGGGGUUUUUCUGAUUGGGUCUUGUUCACCAUCAUCCCUCCACUCUUAUCUCAGUCUGCUCAAGAGAUUGUAAUAUCAUUCACUUCAGACACUAGGAAUGUUAAUUUCUUUCUGUCCUAAACUCUCGUCCGCCUCUCGUUCGUGUGUGAUGAUGACUAAAGACAAUAAUAACCUGUGUGCAGGUUAAAACACAUGUUCACUUUCUCCAGAGCUUAAGUGCUGUAAUUGAACGCCAAGCUGGAAUGACCAAGGGAGGAAAAAAUGUUUAUGGAGGAGGGCUGAGGAUAGAUGACAGGGUUUGUCUUGUUUUAUUAAAAGCCUUUUUAUAUCAUUGAUUUCAAAGUACUACCUUACAUAAACAAUUGCAUCCCCAACAUCUACACUAAAAACACUUUAAAGCUGUUCACCACCAGCUUUAUGAUACAUGUGGUUUUUCUUUUUUAACUCUGGAGGUGAUAGCACAUUCAUGCGCAAGAUUUUUAUUAACUACUGUAGCUCAGCCAGACUUGAUGCAGUGUUCAAAAGAGUAAGAAUGAUUGUUGCCAGCCGGUUUAAACUGUUGUGGAAAGUAUGUGUUGUGUUUAAGGUGAAGAGGCAAGAGUGACAAAUAGAGAGAAUGUUCGAUACAUUUUUUUGUCUGUUUAGGUUUCGGCAAUAAGAAUCCUACUAUUUUCUAAGCUUGGUGUAGAGCAGAUGUGGAUAGAUAGACCAUCUAUUUAUGUGUUACAUGGUACAUCAAAACAUUAAUGGUCCAUUUGAUAACAUGUCAGAAGCAGAUGCUUUUCUCAGUCAAAAGUUACUUCGAUUGAUUGCAAAAAGCUUAAUGCAGUAAAAAACAUCAGUUUUUCAUCUGCCUCGGCAAGGAGCUCAUAACAUCAUCUGGGAUAGUAAACAGAUAUUAUUCCGUCAGUGAUGGAACAACAAACUGAUGAGCAGAGGAUGAAUGUAGUUUAAUCAGACAUUGAAGUUCUACUGCAUGCAGCUGUGUUAAACCAUCCACCCAGAAUGGUGCGUUGGAUGAGAUACGUUCAUUACCAUGCAUUUCUGCAGUUCCAUGUCUUUCGCUGUCAUCCGCUACCGUGCUGGCAUGCUGAAAAUAAGUAGCUGUGCCCACCACAAAAUUUUCCAUCAGCAGCUGGCACUAGUUUUAUGUGGAAAAACCUUAUGAAUGAAUCCCCCGGAUGAAUAUGCUUGUCUUGAUCAUAAUGAAGUAGAGGAACAUCCACCAUGAACAGCGUGUCUAUCUCGCUACAUUAGAAUUUCUAUAAGGUUUCGCUACCUUUCCAUAACCUCCACCGCACAACAAUAAACACAGGGGCAGACUGUGCGAGGCCGUGCUAAUGAUAAGGCAUGACACUGUGGGGCAAAACAGGGUUGUUAAAAAGCAGAUGUUUGUGGCGGCUCCCAGAUGGGAUUGAUAGAGACGUAGCUGGAGGUGAUGCGCUGUAGUAUAGGUUCCUCAUGUAAGUGGAAAAAAUAUAUGCACUUUAAUGAUACUGGUGGUGGAGGCUGCAGCUGUGGAGAGGUGGUGGGGUAUUUACUCUAUAGCCAAGACAUAUUCCACUCAGUCGAAGACCAACAGGAAGCAGGGAGACAUCGUCUGCGAUCCACACAUCUGCACUUACUGAUUUGUCAAAGAAAGACAUCAUGCAGGCACUUGUGCUCGUCCUCGCAAUGGGAUUACUGGAUCUAAGCGCAGGGCAGCAUCAUUACAGCCAGUGGCUGUCACAUCUCCGCUCUCGCCGGCGGCCCAUCAGCUGGCUCGCUGAGGAAGUGGACUGCCCCCUGGAGUGUGACUGCCCCACGGCAUACCCCACGGCCAUGUACUGUCACAGUCGCAACCUUCAGCACGUCCCCUACGUCCCCUCUCACAUAAAGUACGUCUACCUGCAGCGAAACCAGAUCACAGGCAUCCAGGACGGUGUGUUUGACAAUGCCACCAGCUUAGUCUGGAUAGUUCUGUCCCACAACCAGCUGCGCUCAGACAAGAUAGGCAAGAACGUCUUCACUAAGCUCAAGAACCUGGAACGGUUGUUCUUGGAUCACAAUGAGCUCACCAGGGUCCCUUCUAAUCUGCCCAGGUCCAUCACAGACCUGAGAAUCGGUCACAACAAGAUCACUAAAAUUAACCCGAAGUUGUUUGAAGGGAUGGCUGACCUAACUAAUCUGCAGCUGCAGGAUAACAACAUUGAGGAUGUUGGCGGUGCGUUCAAGGGACUGAAGUCUUUGAUUAUGCUAGACAUGAGAAAGAACAAGCUGCGCAGAAUCCCUGAAAACCUGCCAGAGACUCUGCAGCAACUCUACCUGGAGUUUAACGGCAUAGAAAGUGUCUCUGCUGGAUUCCUCGCCAUGAAUCCCAGAUUGCAGUUUCUUCGUUUAUCUCACAACAAACUGACCGAUAGAGGUCUUCCAGCAAAUGUCUUCAAUAUCAGCACACUGGUGGAGCUUGACCUUUCCUUCAACAAGUUGGAGAGGAUCCCAAGUGUCAACAGGAACCUGGAGAACCUCUACCUACAGGCCAAUGAGAUCAAAGAGUUUUCCCUGAGCAGUUUUUGCAGCAAGAUCAACAUGGCAAGCUUCUCCAGGCUUCGAGUUCUACGCCUGGAUGCCAACGAGAUCAGUGCCAGAGACAUUCCCGCAGAAGCUGCCUACUGUUUGCGGCGUGUUGCCUUCAUUGAUGUGUAAACUCCCUGUCAGCGAAGAUGUUGCCUGCCUUCUACCUGUGGUCUGAUGUCACCAUGUUUUCACACAUCUUGUUCGCAGCCUGUUGGAUCUGACGAGUGUUGACGGUUAUGAAAGAAACGUGAUUAAUCUUGUCUGAGGCGCUUUAGUGUCAGGCAACAGGAAAUACCGCAGUUGUACGAUCACACAUCCAGAUGACAGGCAUAUGUGUCAUAGGAGAAAACAAAGUGACUCAUGAAACGUACUUCUUUUUAGCAUGAAUCACACUCAUCCGUCGCCAUCCUGAGGUAACGAUUUUCCUCACAUUCAUUUUGUUGAACUUCUUCAUGACUUCAGGAUAACCUCUUUGCACACAGCGUUCCUCCUGAACCAUAAGAAACAUUUAUUAAAACCAUAUAGCUGUCAGGAUCUGAUUGACCAGCCAGAACAUUAUGACCAUCUGUCCAGGAUCUUUUUAUGAUGACAUAGCAUGAUAAACUUGUAUUUUGAAGGUGUAUAUGCUUAAAAUGAUUCAUUUAAUCAGUACCACAUAUUGAAUUCCUAGUUUCUUGCUCACUGCUUAGAAGUCACUUCAGGAUGACACUUGCCGCUGCAGGCCAACUGAAAACAGUAACAGGCUGAUGGUCAUUAUCUCAUGAACAAUGCCUGGAAACAUGUUUCUGAAGUGGGAAACUGUUGUGUGAGUGUUGAUGUCAUAUAAGUUGUUGAUCCCAUUGACAUGCGCAUAGUAAUUGUUUAUGUUUUCUUGGUAGUAUCCUAGUCAUGAUGGAAAUCUGGAGGAAGAAAACAGCAACUUUGAUCUGAAGAUGAAUUACUGCAAGGGUGUCAAACGGACCUCUCAUUGACGCUUCAGCGGCUUGCUUCCCUAAAAGUCGGUCAAGCGACAAAACUCUGCCUUGUGCUCGAUUGUAGAUGAUCAAUCCAAAUACGAGGAGAAGUCCUCGGGAAGAGUCUGCUUGUCCCAGUUCAAAGAGCUCAGAGCAGGGUGUGUGGAACGUCUCUUCGCGGGAAACCCAAUUUUCCAGGAGAAACUAAAACUGGGUUUUGGUUGUCACAAUGCUUCCUGGACUGCUAGGUGAGUUGGAACGUCUGGACCUCUGUACUUCAGCUUCUGCCCCAACGACUAAGAUAAGGAAAUGGAUGGUUUUGACUGUGCACAAUUUCGUUAAAAGGAUCAAAAUUAUCUGAGGAUAAAACAAAGCAAAACAUUUUGUUGGGCUGCCAUUAAACCAUUUUUAAUUUUAAAGUAAACAGCCAUCUUGAUAGCUGGCUAGACUUCCAUUUCAUGCAGCUGCCUGUAAUCCUCAACUCUGAAGUGAAUUAAAUAAAAACUUUCCGGGCUUGGUCAUGUAACUGCAUCCUGGUAAGAAGAGUGGUUUCGGCUGGGUGUCGAUUUUACAGUUCACAUAUCUGGAACCACUGUGUUUAAGUGGUCAUUCCGUUUCUCUCAAGAGAAUCACAUGUGGCGAUUAGCUGCAUUAUGCAACUUGUUUGUUGUAGCGAAAGUUGGCGAGCCAUGUUUCAGUUAACCUAAAGUAACCGUGACACUGAACUUGUUUACAAAGUAAAUUUAAGUACAGUAGCUGUUUUUAGCAGGCUGAAGUUUCUUCACAUGCAGAUGCGAGGGUUGUGCACUCUCCCAAUCAUUGAAUUCUCUCUUGGAUCUCAGAUGUUUUCGCCACUUCUCCAAGAGGUUGUUUUUCAGUGUAGUGCUGUAAGGCAGACAAACACUGGAGAUGCGCGUUGUGUUUGAUAUCUAUGGGUAAGCUUUAUUGUCGCUGAGGUGAUUGAAGUUAAACCAAUAAAUAACUUUAACAUGAGAACAAUACAGUUUAUCAAGUGAAAGAACAUGUACAUAGUAGAGAAAUACCUUUAGUGGACUCAAAAUAUAACUGUUGUAGAUGAUGCACAAAAAUAAUAUACACAGCAUAUUAUUCCAAAAUAUCCAUCUCAGUCAAAGCAAACUUUUUGAUUAAGUAGUUCAGCAUUAUAUAGUACCAACAUUUAUUACAGAAAUAAAAUGCUGGACGAAAUUCAGGGCUUCAGAGGUUCACUGCCGCCGCUGUCGUCUGUGGAAAGAGACACUCAAAUUUAAAAUCUGUCUUUUGAAUGGUAGUGAUGUUUGAACUUCAUUAGCAGUCCGGGGAUUCUGAGCCAAGCAUGAUCUGUGAGAACACUGAAAGCAUCUUUCAGAAAAGUCAUUGCAGCCAGGUGUGAGCGGCUGGAACAAAGAUUGAAGAAAUGAAACGUGGGAAACUUCUAUGAACUAGAUUUCUUGGCAACAACUUAAUGAUGGAGGAUUAAUUAAAAUGAGUUCUCUGAGUCAUGAGGCUCCUCACUUGUGCUUUUACAUUUCAUUGGCCUCCUUGUUAUUAUGAGGACGAACAUCAAUGCGACCCAAAACUAGAUUCUAACCUUAUGAAAACAGAGAUCAUGAGAUUGACAAAAUAAACCUCUUAACCUGUUAUUUGUUCCUCCAAACAUCUGUUUUAUAACACAGUCAUGUGUAUCAUCUUUCUAUUUUCUCUUUGCAAUUCGUCAACAACAGCCUCACAACAAUAAUAGCAUUAGCAUGAUAAAGUGUUUAUCUUGCAGCGAAGUGUUGGAUUACGUCAAAAUACUUCAUCAGACUUUGUAUUUGUGGUCAUUUGUCCCUGCUAAUGAAUUCCUUCGUUUCAUCUUCUUUGUUUGAAAUUAUUUCGACUGAUGGACAAGCAAUGAACACCAUUAUGAGCAAAUUCAAUUCUGCGUUCAAUAAAAAUCACAAGAUAAAAAUUACAAAUGAUCUAAUAGUUGACCAGACUUGAAGUUGACAUGCGCUACAGUCAGAUGACUGUGUUUUGAUCGAGUAUUUAAGCAGGAAUUUGAUAGUUUUUGUUGUCUACAAAAGUGCUUGAUGCAACUUCAAUGAGAUAUAUUGUUAGUAUUUUCUGGGCUUUUACUGAUGUGUGUUUGGAUCGUAAGAUACUUUGGCUGUCUUUAUGAGCAGGGGGUGCUGGUAAAUAUUAGGUGGUUAAGAUGAAGUUCAUGAGAGUAUUUCUUGAGGGGAACAGACAAAAAGCAUGCUUUACAUGGAAUUUGGGUCAGGUAAAAGUUCACUCUGUCCAUUUAUAAAAGGACAGGUUCGGAUUAAGUCCAACAUUCUUCUGCAAAGGUGUGUGAUAAAUCAAAGGAAAUAUGAGGAGACAAGAUCAGAGCAUGCUAGAAGCAAGGAAUCGUCUCUCACUAAAUACUCUCCAGUGAAUUUUCUUCAGCACAGAUUCAAUAAAAUGUAGUUGAAUACAUUUGCUUAAUUUCCUUCCAUUAAUUGCCUGCCGUGCAAUGCUCAUCCAACUCAAUAGUAUCUUUAGUAGAAUAAAACACUCACAUUAUUGUUGCUCCAUCUCGAUUUCUGUUCGCUCUCUGCUUCAGAGAAAAUGGAAUUAAGUGAAUGAACUUAGCGAGAGAGACAUUCAAAGACGAAGCACUCACCUGGAGUCUGUACCUGAUCUUGAUCUGUGAGUGAUGGGGGUUUUCUGUUGGGAGAAACAACAGCUAUGAAGAAAAACAGGCAGAAACGAUGGCAGCUGAGGAUGAAAAACAGACUUCAGAGAAUAUUGAAUUAAUUUAGAUCUGUUUAAAUUAAAUCUGACGCCGCCGAGUGUCGUUAUUUUACAGGGAUAAAAAUAAGUCAGAGCGAAUAGCCUGAAUAUCUUCACAGGGCUACAAAACAACCACUAGGAAGAAUGAAAAACAAUAGAGCCUUGUCAUCAUCCAGGAGAAUUUUGAUAAGAAUAGCAUGGAUCCAUAUUGGGUUGUUAUUUAUACUCCACACAAAGCCACAUAAAAUCUGAACCCACCAAUCUGAGACCAUGUCCAUACUUGUGGAUAUAAAUUCACAGUGUAGCUAAUGAAACAAACCGACUAUUUAAAAAUCUCAAUGAGGAUCAUGUUGAUCAAAUUAUUGUGGCCCAAAAUAGGCUGUUUUGGUGAAUCGAGCUUCUCUACAAGACAAAAGUGGUAUGAACAAGAAGCUGAGUGAUACAAACAAAUGAA